CCCAGACUCCUACGGGAGGCAGCAGUGGGGGAUAUUGCACAAUGGGGGAAACCCUGAUGCAGCGACGCCGCGUGAGUGAAGAAGUAUUUCGGUAUGUAAAGCUCUAUCAGCAGGGAAGAAAAAAGACGGUACCUGACUAAGAAGCCCCGGCUAACUACGUGCCAGCAGCCGCGGUAAUACGUAGGGGGCAAGCGUUAUCCGGAUUUACUGGGUGUAAAGGGAGCGUAGGCGGCAAUACAAGUCGGAAGUGAAAUACCCGGGCUCAACCUGGGAACUGCUUUGGAAACUGUAUGGCUGGAGUGCUAGAGAGGUAAGCGGAAUUCCUAGUGUAGCGGUGAAAUGCGUAGAUAUUAGGAGGAACACCAGUGGCGAAGGCGGCUUACUGGACGGUAACUGACGUUGAGGCUCGAAAGCGUGGGGAGCAAACAGGAUUAGAUACCCGCGUAGCG
rnacentral:rRNA from 1 species